AGCAGCCGCGGUAAUUCCAGCUCCAAUAGCGUAUAUUAAAGUUGUUGCAGUUAAAAAGCUCGUAGUUGAAUUUCGGGAUUAGUACGUCGGUCGUGCCUUAGGUACGUACUGGUGUUACUGGUUCCUACCUUCUGACGAACCAUCAUGUCAUUAAUUUGGUGUGGUGGGGAAUCAGGACUGUUACUUUGAAAAAAUUAGAGUGUUCAAAGCAGGCUCGCGCUUGAAUACAUUAGCAUGGAAUAAUGAGAUAGGACGUUGAUCCUAUUUUGUUGGUUUCU
rnacentral:rRNA from 1 species